UACGUAGGGUGCGAGCGUUAAUCGGAAUUACUGGGCGUAAAGCGUGCGCAGGCGGUUUUGUAAGCCAGAUGUGAAAGCCCCGGGCUUAACCUGGGAAUGGCAUUUGGGACUGCAAGGCUUGAGUGCGGCAGAGGAGACUGGAAUUCCUGGUGUAGCAGUGAAAUGCGUAGAUAUCAGGAGGAAUACCGAUGGCGAAGGCAGGUCUCUGGGCAUUAACUGACGCUGAGGAGCGAAAGCAUGGGGAGCGAACAGG
rnacentral:rRNA from 1 species